GACGAACCGUGCGAGCGUUAUUCGGAAUCACUGGGCUUAAAGCGCGUGUAGGCGGGGCGGCACGUCGGUCGCUGAAAGCCCCCGGCUCAACCGGGGAAGUGGCACCGAUACGACCGCCCUGGAGGGACGUAGGGGGACCUGGAACUUCCGGUGGAGCGGUGAAAUGCGUUGAGAUCGGAAGGAACGCCCGUGGCGAAAGCGAGGUCCUGGACGUUUUCUGACGCUGAGACACGAAAGCCAGGGGAGCGAACGGG
rnacentral:rRNA from 1 species